rnacentral:rRNA from 1 species
UACGUAGGCAGCAAGCGUUGUUCGGAAUUACUGGGCGUAAAGAGCUCGUAGGUGGUUCGGUAAGUCGGGUGUUUAAACCCCCAGCUCAACCUGGGGACGCCACUCGAUACUGCUGUGACUAGAGUCCGGUAGGGGAGCGUGGAAUUCCUGGUGUAGCGGUGAAAUGCGCAGAUAUCAGGAGGAACACCAGCGGCGAAGGCGGCGCUCUGGGCCGGUACUGACACUGAGGAGCGAAAGCGUGGGUAGCAAACAGG